GCUCAAAUAGUCUAGGUGGUUAGGGCACCACGUUGUGGAUCAUUUCAGAACCGUGGAAACCCCAGUUCGAGUCUGGGUUUGGGCA
rnacentral:tRNA from 1 species